rnacentral:lncRNA from 1 species
AGCAUAGCUGAGAGCAAAGUUCCUAGGAUUACUGUGGCCCUGGCAGGAGGGCAGGUAAGAACAUGAAGAUGGGUACAACCUCACCAAAGGAGAGCUGAUGAUAAUAGCAAUCACCCUGCACCUGGGCCUUUCUGCCCCUUCCUAGGCUACAUAUGAAACCUACAUCCCAGAACCCAGCAAAGGAAGAAGUGAAGACACCAGCUAGGAAGAAAAAGGAUGGCUUACUGACAGGAACUCUCAUCUUCCAAACAUUAAAGUGAUCCCUCUUCACUGAAAAAGAUCAGAGUCCCAGAUAAACCACAGCGGGGGCAGACAGAGGACCUCCGAGUCACCCAUUAAAUUCCAGAGGAAGACUGGGAGACCUGCUGCUGCUUUUCACUCCUCGAGAGAGACUGGAAUUGAAGAGGCCUGGAGAAAAUAAAUAUAAACGAGAAGGGAUGGGGGAGAAGACA